GCAACAGCGCCUUGUCGUUCGGUCUUUGCUCUGUGACAUUAGAGGAAGCGGCAGCUGCUGCAGGAAUUUCCGAGACAAGAGACGCGCACUUGUCCGUCCGAUUUCUUCCCCUUGAGAAGAAGAGCCCUUGGCUCUUUCUUGGCACAAGUUUAGCAGACACCACGAACCGUAGAACGAUCCUCGUUCGUUUGCUUGUUUGUUGUAGCUACAAUUUGGCUGACUCGAUUCUCGGGAAAUCCGUUCCACCGCAACAGAAGUCAAUGAUACGAUGACUGCUCUUUGAAAUCUGUUGAAACCGGGGCAAAUGAACGAAUUGGAAUAAAAAAGACGAGAGAUCAACGAUCCAACGAAACGUUAUCCAAAAAGUUGCUAGGGAACGAUGCCAAGGAACAUUGUUGCAUAAUGCCAACGUCGUUUUCUUCUUCUCCUUCUUCUUCGCAGCUGUGGAGCACGGCGUGUGUUCAGGUACCUAUAUUAACCCGGGUUGUGGAUGAGAUGAGGUUGUAGGAUAUAAGUUAGAAAGCUCCCGUGCAAAGCAACUGGCCAGCUUGCAGAGAAGCUGGUUCACCGCGCUGCUCUGAACGUUUCAUUGAAUAUUACGCAGGCCGUAGAAGAUGGAUAGCGGUCGUAUAGUGACAAAUGUAAUCACCAUUUUGCUAGCAUCAAUUUUCAACCGCGAAAUGAAAGCUCUGCAAGCGCGCGUUUGAAAUAUGAUUCACGAGCGAACCCGUUUGCUGUGAAGAGAUCACCGGUACUUUGCGUCACGUCACAACUCUAUAAAUGCAAUGAGUGGUAAUAACGUGAAAUGUACAAUAAUACCUUGCACCUUGUGGGUUGAAUUACCACGGAAAUUACCAGGGUGGGCACAAAUUUUUGUAAAAAUAAAAUUCCAUGACAUUUA